rnacentral:rRNA from 1 species
CGUAGCAAUACGUCAGCGGCAGACGGGUGAGUAACGCGUGGGAACGUACCUUUUGGUUCGGAACAACACAGGGAAACUUGUGCUAAUACCGGAUAAGCCCUUACGGGGAAAGAUUUAUCGCCGAAAGAUCGGCCCGCGUCUGAUUAGCUAGUUGGUGAGGUAACGGCUCACCAAGGCGACGAUCAGUAGCUGGUCUGAGAGGAUGAUCAGCCACAUUGGGACUGAGACACGGCCCAAACUCCUACGGGAGGCAGCAGUGGGGAAUAUUGGACAAUGGGCGCAAGCCUGAUCCAGCCAUGCCGCGUGAGUGAUGAAGGCCCUAGGGUUGUAAAGCUCUUUUGUGCGGGAAGAUAAUGACGGUACCGCAAGAAUAAGCCCCGGCUAACUUCGUGCCAGCAGCCGCGGUAAUACGAAGGGGGCUAGCGUUGCUCGGAAUCACUGGGCGUAAAGGGUGCGUAGGCGGGUCUUUAAGUCAGGGGUGAAAUCCUGGAGCUCAACUCCAGAACUGCCUUUGAUACUGAGGAUCUUGAGUUCGGGAGAGGUGAGUGGAACUGCGAGUGUAGAGGUGAAAUUCGUAGAUAUUCGCAAGAACACCAGUGGCGAAGGCGGCUCACUGGCCCGAUACUGACGCUGAGC